UACGUAGGGUGCAAGCGUUGUCCGGAAUUAUUGGGCGUAAAGAGCUCGUAGGCGGUUUGUCGCGUCUGCUGUGAAAACUCGGGGCUUAACCCCGGGCCUGCAGUGGGUACGGGCAGACUAGAGUGCGGUAGGGGAGACUGGAAUUCCUGGUGUAGCGGUGAAACGCGCAGAUAUCAGGAGGAACACCGGUGGCGAAGGCGGGUCUCUGGGCCGCAACUGACGCUGAGGAGCGAAAGCGUGGGGAGCGAACAGG
rnacentral:rRNA from 1 species